rnacentral:rRNA from 1 species
GACGAACGCUGGCGGCGUGCUUAACACAUGCAAGUCGAACGGAAAGGCCUUUUCGGCGGUACUCGAGUGGCGAACGGGUGAGUAACACGUGGGUGAUCUGCCCUGCACUCUGGGAUAAGCCUGGGAAACUGGGUCUAAUACCGGAUAGGACCGCACUUUAGUGUGUGUGGUGGAAAGUUUUUUCGGUGUAGGAUGAGCCCGCGGCCUAUCAGCUUGUUGGUGGGGUAAUGGCCUACCAAGGCGGCGACGGGUAGCCGGACUGAGAGGUUGGUCGGCCACAUUGGGACUGAGAGACGGCCCAGACUCCGACGGGAGGCAGCAGUGGGGAAUAUUGCACAAGGGGCGCAAGCCUGAUGCAGCGACGCCGCGUGGGGGAUGACGGCCUUCGGGUUGUAAACUCCUUUCGCCAGGGACGAAGCGUUUUGUGACGGUACCUGGAGAAGAAGCACCGGCUAACUACGUG